rnacentral:rRNA from 1 species
GUUGGCCUCGGAUCAGGUGGGGAUACCCGCUGAAUUUAAGCAUAUAUAAACCGGGAAGGAAAUGGCAUUAAACA